rnacentral:rRNA from 1 species
AUUGAACGCUGGCGGUAUGCUUUACACAUGCAAGUCGAACGGUAACAGGUCUUCGGAUGCUGACGAGUGGCGAACGGGUGAGUAAUGUAUCGGAACGUGCCUAGUAAUGGGGGAUAACCACUCGAAAGAGUGACUAAUACCGCAUAAUAUCUCAGGAUGAAAGCGGGGGAUCGCAAGACCUCGCGUUAUUAGAGCGGCCGAUAUCAGAUUAGGUAGUUGGUGGGAUAAAAGCCUACCAAGCCAACGAUCUGUAGCUGGUCUGAGAGGACGACCAGCCACACUGGGACUGAGACACGGCCCAGACUCCUACGGGAGGCAGCAGUGGGGAAUUUUGGACAAUGGGCGAAAGCCUGAUCCAGCAAUACCGCGUGCAGGACGAAGGCCUUCGGGUUGUAAACUGCUUUUGUACGGACGAAACGGUUCAGAUUAAUACUCUGAACUAAUGACGGUACCGUAAGAAUAAGCACCGGCUAACUACGUGCCAGCAGCCGCGGUAAACCGU